rnacentral:rRNA from 1 species
GACGAACGCUGGCGGCGUGCUUAACACAUGCUAGUCGAACGGAAAGGCCCUGCUUUUGUGGGGUGCCCGAGUGGCGAACGGGUGAGUAACACGUGAGUAACCUGCCCUUGACUUUGGGAUAACUUCAGGGAACUGGGGCUAAUACCGGAUAGGAGCUCCUGCUGCAUGGUGGGGGUUGGAAAGUUUCGGCGGUUGGGGAUGGACUCGCGGCUUAUCAGCUUGUUGGUGGGGUAGUGGCUUACCAAGGCUUUGACGGGUAGCCGGCCUGAGAGGGUGACCGGCCACAUUGGGACUGAGAUACGGCCCAGACUCCUACGGGAGGCAGCAGUGGGGAAUAUUGCACAAUGGGCGGAAGCCUGAUGCAGCAACGCCGCGUGCGGGAUGACGGCCUUCGGGUUGUAAACCGCUUUCGCCUGUGACGAAGCGUGAGUGACGGUAAUGGGUAAAGAAGCACCGGCUAACUACGUGCCAGCAGCCGCGGUGAUACGUAGGGUGCGAGCGUUGUCCGGAUUUAUUGGGCGUAAAGGGCUCGUAGGUGGUUGAUCGCGUCGGAAGUGUAAUCUUGGGGCUUAACCCUGAGCGUGCUUUCGAUACGGGUUGACUUGAGGAAGGUAGGGGAGAAUGGAAUUCCUGGUGGAGCGGUGGAAUGCGCAGAUAUCAGGAGGAACACCAGUGGCGAAGGCGGUUCUCUGGGCCUUUCCUGACGCUGAGGAGCGAAAGCGUGGGGAGCGAACAGGCUUAGAUACCCUGGUAGUCCACGCUGUAAACGGUGGGUACUAGGUGUGGGGUCCAUUCCACGGGUUCCGUGCCGUAGCUAACGCUUUAAGUACCCCGCCUGGGGAGUACGGCCGCAAGGCUAAAACUCAAAGGAAUUGACGGGGCCCCGCACAAGCGGCGGAGCAUGCGGAUUAAUUCGAUGCAACGCGUAGAACCUUACCUGGGUUUGACAUGGAUCGGGAGCGCUCAGAGAUGGGUGUGCCUCUUUUGGGGUCGGUUCACAGGUGGUGCAUGGCUGUCGUCAGCUCGUGUCGUGAGAUGUUGGGUUAAGUCCCGCAACGAGCGCAACCCUUGUUCACUGUUGCCAGCACGUUAUGGUGGGGACUCAGUGGAGACCGCCGGGGUCAACUCGGAGGAAGGUGGGGAUGGCGUCAAGUCAUCAUGCCCCUUAUGUCCAGGGCUUCACGCAUGCUACAAUGGCUGGUACAGAGAGUGGCGAGCCUGUGAGGGUGAGCGAAUCUCGGAAAGCCGGUCUCAGUUCGGAUUGGGGUCUGCAACUCGACCUCAUGAAGUCGGAGUCGCUAGUAAUCGCAGAUCGGCAACGCUGCGGUGAAUACGUUCCCGGGGCU